rnacentral:rRNA from 1 species
AUUGAACGCUGGCGGCGUGCUUUACACAUGCAAGUCGGACGAGUGGCGAACGGGUGAGUAACGCAUCGGAACGUACCGAGUACUGGGGGAUAACUGUCCGAAACGAUAGCUACUACCGCAUACUAUACGAUAGGCCGAUUUCUGAUUAGCUGGUUGGCGGGGUAAAGGCCCACCAAGGCGACGAUCACUAGCUGGUCUGAGAGGAUGAUCUGCCACACUGGGACUGAGACACGGCCCAGACGCCUACGGGAGGCAGCAGUGGGGAAUUUUGUACAAUGGGCGCAAGACUGAUGCAGCCAUGCCGCGUGUCUGAAGAAGGCCUUCGGGUUGUAAAGGACUUUCAUCAGGGAGGCGUUACCUGAAGAAGAAGCACCGGCUAACUACGUGCCAGCAGCCGCGGUAAUUC